GGGAAUUUAGCUCAGCUGGUAGAGCAGCGGACUCUUAAUCCGUAGGUCGAGAGUUCGAAUCUCUCAGUUCCCACCA
rnacentral:tRNA from 14 species